GCUGAUCCCCGCUGAGUAUGUUUGCUAUCAACGCAACCCGGUGUGUAGAGUACUGUAUUUGUUAGUAGCUGCAGUAUGAUUAAAAAAUGCAUUGUGCUUUAGACUAAUGGUGAAUAAGCAAAAAUGCUUGUCAAUUCGGAUGUAAUAUUGGUAUAUUUACCGUAAAUGGCGUAUUUGUGUUUUUUUUUUCUCCAACACAAUGUCUGGAGUCCCAGUGUUGGAUACGCUCUUCCUACUUAUGUCCUUGAGCGAGACACUGAGCCUUCACUUCCAGUGUGUUUUCCUGCUCCCUCAGGUCACACAAGGAAGCAGGGACAGAGAAUGUGGGCAUAUGAGAGAAGGAAAGGAAAUGAAGGAGAACACACGAGGAAACCGACACAAAGCCACAGUGAGAAGUAGGGAGACGAUGGGGAGGUGCCACGUCAUGCCUGAAGCUCCAGAGCAUUCACAGUCUCGCUCAAGGAUGCUUCAACCAGGACCUACGCCCGCUGUCAAGUGGCUUGAACCCAGGUCUUCCAGACGAAGGUCGCUCCACUUAAUCACUGCCUCUGCAGAAUGGGAGCGUCAUGAUAUAUGUAACCAGACCACUGACAGGAAGCAGCCCAGUAUCAGUUCCCCUAAUGCAUCUUUCAAGAUUUUGUACAUCUAAUUGCAGUUCAGGCAGAAAGAGGCAGGGUUCACCACAGUCCGUCCACAGUAGCUAGACUGGAGGCAGAGGUCGGCACAAGGUCGCGUCCUUUGGCUCCACAGGCUGUGGAUGCCGUGCACACGGUGUCCUGGCUCAGACCAUCGGGAAGCUCUACAGCCGGACCGGCUAGGCGCUGAGUAGCCUACCGUUAGCAGAGAUCAGGAGCUGCAGAUGAAAGUGCCAUGUGGAGGGAGGUCAAGUCAUGUUAGAGUCAGUCAGUUUGCAGCGCUCCGCAUGUCUGAGGACGCUGAACCGUGUAGGAGAACGUUAGGCCACUGUCCCCUGUCGAACAGACAGAUGGCGCUGCCGACUGCUAGCAGCGUCCUCAAUGAGCUUUGUUCGUGCCUGUCAACUGUCCAUGUGCUACAGCAGCUUCCUGUAUCCCAGCAUGCUCUGGGCUCACAUUAUGUUCACACUAUGCUGAUGCACAGAGCAACUGCAUUCCUAGACAUUGUCUGGGGAAGGAAACAUAGAAAGUCAGUAAAGUCAUGAAGUCAGUUUAACACCUACUUACAGUACGUAGAAAAGUUAACAUGGAAAACAAAAAGAGUACACAAAGGACAGUAUGUGUCAUAGGAGCAUCUAUAGAUAAUUAACAUUCUGUCAACUCCUCACUAACAGACUGCAUGUUGUGUAGGAAGUAAGACAUGGUUCCUCAACAAAACCCCUCUCAGGGGCGGCACAAGGUUCAGCAGCAGUUCAGCAGAAAAAAGUGGGCCAUCUGCAAAAGCUGCUCGCUACUGAAGGCUGAAUCUAAGCUCAAACCACUAUCUACUGGCAUCACUUUUUGAGGAAAUUCAUCUUUGAUUUAGCUGUCUCACUUGGAUUGACACGCACACAUUCAAAUUAUCGCAACUUGAUAGGAAUGCGUAAUAAGCUCCACCUCAGUGAUGUGGCUCGGCUUUGACUGCGAGAGACGAACAGUUAAAAUCAGCUCCCACAAAGACAAUAUUUCAAAUUA
rnacentral:lncRNA from 1 species